UACGAAGGGGGCGAGCGUUGUUCGGAAUUACUGGGCGUAAAGGGCGCGCAGGCGGCUCAGACAGUCAGAUGUGAAAGCCCCGGGCUUAACCUGGGAACUGCAUUUGAUACUACUGAGCUUGAGUACGGGAGAGGAUAGUGGAAUUCCCAGUGUAGAGGUGAAAUUCGUAGAUAUUGGGAAGAACACCGGUGGCGAAGGCGGCUAUCUGGACCGUAACUGACGCUGAGGCGCGAGGGCGUGGGGAGCGAACGGG
rnacentral:rRNA from 1 species